rnacentral:rRNA from 1 species
AUGGAAGAAGAAAUUGAUGAAACUGUGAGCUCAUUGGAUGAAAAAAAUGAUGAGGAGAGCGAAGAACAAAAGGAGGAAGAGCAGAUUGAUCACCCGUGCCCACCUUCUAAUGAGAUUAACUCUUCAACUCAUACAUUGUUUAAUUCCCCUUCGUUCUUACCGAAGGAUGAUUGCUAUGAUGACUGUUAUGAUCCCAUUGAUUCUCUUGAAAUAUCCCUUUUUGAUGAUGCUUGCUAUGCUUGUGGCCAAGAUGCCAAUAUGAAUGAUGCUUAUGGAGAUGAACUUGCUAUAGUUACUUAUGUUGAACAUGAAAUUGUUGCUAUUGCAUCCACACAUGAUAGUCCUAUUAUCUUUUUGAAUUCUCCAAACUACACUAUAUCGGAGAAGUUUGUGCUUAUUAAGGAUUAUAUUGAUGGGUUGCCUUUUACCGUUGUACAUGAUGAUCUUGAUAGAUAUAAUAUGCAUGUGCUUGCUGCUCCUACUUGCAAUUGUUAUGAGAGAGGAACUAUAUCUCCACCUCUCUAUGUUUCCAAUAUGAUAAAAUUGCAAGAAACUGUUUAUACUAUGCAUUGGCCUUUACUUUGUGUGCAUGAAUUGUUCUUUUAUGACAUGCCGAUGCAUAGGAAGAGAGUUAGACUUCGUAAUUACAUGAUAUAUGUUACUUUGUGCUCACUACUAAAUUACAAAUCAUUGCUAAUUAAAAUUGGCUUUGAUAUACCUUGGGAUCCGGGUGGAUUCAUUACUUGA